rnacentral:rRNA from 1 species
UACGGGGGGAGCAAGCGUUGUUCGGAUUUACUGGGCGUAAAGGGCGCGUAGGUGGCCAGCACAAGUCAGUUGUGAAAUCUCCGAGCUUAACUCGGAACGGUCAACUGAUACUGUGCGGCUAGAGUGCGGAAGGGGCAACUGGAAUUCUUGGUGUAGCGGUGAAAUGCGUAGAUAUCAAGAGGAACACCUGCGGCGAAGGCGGGUUGCUGGGCCGACACUGACGCUGAGGCGCGAAAGCUAGGGGAGCGAACGGG